rnacentral:rRNA from 1 species
AUUGAACGCUGGCGGCAGGCCUAACACAUGCAAGUCGAGCGGGGUUUUCGGACCUAGCGGCGGACGGGUGAGUAAUGCGUAGGAAGCUACCCGAUAGAGGGGGAUACCAGUUGGAAACGACUGUUAAUACCGCAUAAUGUCUACGGACCAAAGUGUGGGACCUUCGGGCCACAUGCUAUCGGAUGCGCCUACGUGGGAUUAGCUAGUUGGUGAGGUAAUGGCUCACCAAGGCGACGAUCCCUAGCUGGUUUGAGAGGAUGAUCAGCCACACUGGAACUGAGACACGGUCAAGACUCGUACGGGAGGCAGCAGUGGGGAAUAUUGGACAAUGGGCGCAAGCCUGAUCCAGCCAUGCCGCGUGUGUGAAGAAGGCCUUCGGGUUGUAAAGCACUUUCAGUAGGGAGGAAGCGUUGUGUGUUAAUAGUACACAGCGUUGACGUUACCUACAGAAGAAGCACCGGCUAACUCUGUGCCAGCAGCCGCCGUAAUAC